CGCGUAGACGGUUUGGUAAGUCAGAUGUGAAAUCCCCGGGCUCAACCUGGGAACUGCAUUUGAUACUGCCUGGCUAGAGUAUGGAAGAGGGAAGUGGAAUUUCCGGUGUAGCGGUGAAAUGCGUAGAUAUCGGAAGGAACACCAGUGGCGAAAGCGACUUCCUGGUCCAAUACUGACGUUCAUGUGCGAAAGCGUGGGGAGCAAACAGGAUUAGAUACCCUGGUAGUCCACGCCAUAAACGAUGACAACUAGAUGUUGGAGGGUCUGCCUCUCGGUGUCGCAGCUAACGCGUUAAGUUGUCCGCCUGGGGAGUACGGCCGCAAGGUUGAA
rnacentral:rRNA from 1 species